AGUGACUGGCAGUUGAGGUCGAAUCGAACGUCAGUAAACAAUUUGUGAAGACGAGAUUUUUGCAGCUGUGAGGGAUGCUGUUUUUGAGCUCAGUUUAAAGGGUAAGAUGCCUUUCUGACAGCCCUGGACUCAGAGACAUGAAAUCUUCAGGGUGGCUGGAGAUGGAUCAAAGAACCACGUCUCAGUAAGUCAACAACUUCAUUGGACCAAUAUGCUCAAAAUGCAUCUUUUUGAACGCAGAAACUCUUGUUCAGCUACUGCAGUAACAAAUUCUUUCUGUGGAAAAAAGUAAAGAUGAGUGGAAAUUGUGCUCUAUCAUCUCACCGUGCUUCUGAGCGACCUGAGUGUUCGCACCAUGAACCCACAGCCGGAGCAUCACAGCCCAUGGGGGGAGGCGAACUGUAAUUAUAGAUAAAUUUAGAAGAGAAAAUAAGUUUUCUGGAGUGACUGGAAAACUAAAGCUGGAAAGUAAGAGGUGAUAUCAUUUGAGGAUGAAGGACACAGAAACAUCAAGUUUUACCAGCACAGAUAAGCCGGCUUAGAGACGCUGAAGGCCAGCUGGGGCUCUGUGAUGUGCCACGGCUCUGUCCCAUUGCCGGUUCAUCCUUUCUUAUGGCUCCCUCCCUGCAUAUAGCUUUGUAAACUGCCCCGAAUCCUUUCGGAAAUUGAGCAGUGCCCGAACAAACAAAAAUACUGAUUUUUAGGUGCUUUCUGAUGUAUUGUGAAAUUGAAUUUUAACAGUCAAGGU
ensembl:lncRNA